rnacentral:lncRNA from 1 species
UCACCUAUAAAAUAUUCUCUUUAUAUUUCUGUUUAUGAGUAAAUUUUAUAUGACGUUAAAUAUUGGAACUGAUUUCCGUAACAGGUCAAAUUAAAGGUACGGCUGAUUUGAAACGUUAUUUAAACACUGGUACUAGUUAUCCAGGAGAGAAUGUGCAGUAACGUUGGUUGGUAUGCUGAGGUGUGGGGGUGGUGAAUGAAGGGUACCCUACCUGCAGUGCUCAAGAAUGUCCAAUGAUUGUAAAGUUACUGAGAUGUCACCGGCAAGUUGCGAGCGCUCUGCUGUUCCUUAGUGUGUCCUUUACAAAACGCCUGUCUUAUAUCAUGUACUCCAGGUUUUGCUCUGAACUUUGUCUCUAUUUAUUAUAACCAAGAAGCUGUUACUCACACAAAUGUUUAUUCUUUUCAAUUGAAUGUACUGUUUAUAACCCACAAAUGCGCACUCUUUGCCUCCAAUUCCCGUAGUACUGUAAUAAUAUGAAUUUUUUUGUGAAAUACUUUCUAUUUUGUUAUGCUUUAAAUAUACAUGCAAAAGAAUUCUGUUAUUAGCUUCAAAAACUGUACAGUAUCUUAAUAUAAAUAUAUAAAAAUAAAAGAUGAGUACUGUAAGUUUUAGUAUCUAUCAGGUCCCCUCCCUUUUACCUCUCCAAAUCGCCCAUUGCUAUGCUUGGCACCCAACCUACAGAAACAGUUCUUACCCAGUUCCAGGACUUUGCUAUCUUGAAGAAACCCGAAACAGUGAGACAGUCAAAAGUGACAACCUCUCUGGAGGCUCUGCGGUUUUAUGGCUUGGUUUUGAAUGUGCGUUAUAUCAUAAAACACAGCUCACUAGUCUCUUCAAUGUCUCCCUUUCUGUCGUUGAAUAAAAGGCAUCCAAACAGUC